rnacentral:rRNA from 1 species
CUAAGUUUGAUGGCGACCGGCGCACGGGUGAGUAACACGUAUCCAACCUGCCGAUGACUCGGGGAUAGCCUUUCGAAAGAAAGAUUAAUACCCGAUGGCAUAAUGAUUCCGCAUGGUUUCAUUAUUAAAGGAUUCCGGUAAAGGAUGGGGACGCGUUCCAUUAGGUUGUUGGUGAGGUAACGGCCCACCAAGCCUUCGAUGGAUAGGGGUUCUGAGAGGAAGGUCCCCCACAUUGGAACUGAGACACGGUCCAAACUCCUACGGGAGGCAGCAUG